rnacentral:rRNA from 1 species
UUUGAUGAAGUUUUCGGAUGGAUUUAAAACAGCUUAGUGGCGGACGGGUGAGUAACGCGUGGGUAACCUGCCUCACACUGGGGGAUAACAGUUAGAAAUAGCUGCUAAUACCGCAUAAGCGCACGGUUCCGCAUGGAACAGUGUGAAAAACUCCGGUGGUGUGAGAUGGACCCGCGUCUGAUUAGCUAGUUGGCAGGGCAACGGCCUACCAAGGCGACGAUCAGUAGCCGACCUGAGAGGUUGAACGGCCACAUUGGAACUGAGAAACGGUCCAGACUCC